ensembl:snoRNA
AGGGUACCUAUAGAGGCAUUACAGGUAUGGCUGCUCUGUCACAUGUGCAUCAGUAGGUGACGAAGAGGAGAGAGGCUACAUCUAAGCUCAAUGUUCUGACCUUUAAACAUUUGAAUAAUUAGUGUCCCAGCAUU